GGGUUGUGAGGUUAAGCGACUAAGCGUACACGGUGGAUGCCCUGGCAGUCAGAGGCGAUGAAGGACGUGCUAAUCUGCGAUAAGCGUCGGUAAGGUGAUAUGAACCGUUAUAACCGGCGAUUUCCGAAUGGGGAAACCCAGUGUGUUUCGACACACUAUCAUUAACUGAAUCCAUAGGUUAAUGAGGCGAACCGGGGGAACUGAAACAUCUAAGUACCCCGAGGAAAAGAAAUCAACCGAGAUUCCCCCAGUAGCGGCGAGCGAACGGGGAGCAGCCCAGAGCCUGAAUCAGUGUGUGUGUUAGUGGAAGCGUCUGGAAAGGCGCGCGAUACAGGGUGACAGCCCCGUACACAAAAAUGCACAUGCUGUGAGCUCGAUGAGUAGGGCGGGACACGUGGUAUCCUGUCUGAAUAUGGGGGGACCAUCCUCCAAGGCUAAAUACUCCUGACUGACCGAUAGUGAACCAGUACCGUGAGGGAAAGGCGAAAAGAACCCCGGCGAGGGGAGUGAAAAAGAACCUGAAACCGUGUACGUACAAGCAGUGGGAGCACGCUUAGGCGUGUGACUGCGUACCUUUUGUAUAAUGGGUCAGCGACUUAUAUUCUGUAGCAAGGUUAACCGAAUAGGGGAGCCGAAGGGAAACCGAGUCUUAACUGGGCGUUAAGUUGCAGGGUAUAGACCCGAAACCCGGUGAUCUAGCCAUGGGCAGGUUGAAGGUUGGGUAACACUAACUGGAGGACCGAACCGACUAAUGUUGAAAAAUUAGCGGAUGACUUGUGGCUGGGGGUGAAAGGCCAAUCAAACCGGGAGAUAGCUGGUUCUCCCCGAAAGCUAUUUAGGUAGCGCCUCGUGAACUCAUCUCCGGGGGUAGAGCACUGUUUCGGCAAGGGGGUCAUCCCGACUUACCAACCCGAUGCAAACUGCGAAUACCGGAGAAUGUUAUCACGGGAGACACACGGCGGGUGCUAACGUCCGUCGUGAAGAGGGAAACAACCCAGACCGCCAGCUAAGGUCCCAAAGUCAUGGUUAAGUGGGAAACGAUGUGGGAAGGCCCAGACAGCCAGGAUGUUGGCUUAGAAGCAGCCAUCAUUUAAAGAAAGCGUAAUAGCUCACUGGUCGAGUCGGCCUGCGCGGAAGAUGUAACGGGGCUAAACCAUGCACCGAAGCUGCGGCAGCGACACUAUGUGUUGUUGGGUAGGGGAGCGUUCUGUAAGCCUGUGAAGGUGUGCUGUGAGGCAUGCUGGAGGUAUCAGAAGUGCGAAUGCUGACAUAAGUAACGAUAAAGCGGGUGAAAAGCCCGCUCGCCGGAAGACCAAGGGUUCCUGUCCAACGUUAAUCGGGGCAGGGUGAGUCGACCCCUAAGGCGAGGCCGAAAGGCGUAGUCGAUGGGAAACAGGUUAAUAUUCCUGUACUUGGUGUUACUGCGAAGGGGGGACGGAGAAGGCUAUGUUGGCCGGGCGACGGUUGUCCCGGUUUAAGCGUGUAGGCUGGUUUUCCAGGCAAAUCCGGAAAAUCAAGGCUGAGGCGUGAUGACGAGGCACUACGGUGCUGAAGCAACAAAUGCCCUGCUUCCAGGAAAAGCCUCUAAGCAUCAGGUAACAUCAAAUCGUACCCCAAACCGACACAGGUGGUCAGGUAGAGAAUACCAAGGCGCUUGAGAGAACUCGGGUGAAGGAACUAGGCAAAAUGGUGCCGUAACUUCGGGAGAAGGCACGCUGAUAUGUAGGUGAAGUCCCUCGCGGAUGGAGCUGAAAUCAGUCGAAGAUACCAGCUGGCUGCAACUGUUUAUUAAAAACACAGCACUGUGCAAACACGAAAGUGGACGUAUACGGUGUGACGCCUGCCCGGUGCCGGAAGGUUAAUUGAUGGGGUUAGCCGCAAGGCGAAGCUCUUGAUCGAAGCCCCGGUAAACGGCGGCCGUAACUAUAACGGUCCUAAGGUAGCGAAAUUCCUUGUCGGGUAAGUUCCGACCUGCACGAAUGGCGUAAUGAUGGCCAGGCUGUCUCCACCCGAGACUCAGUGAAAUUGAACUCGCUGUGAAGAUGCAGUGUACCCGCGGCAAGACGGAAAGACCCCGUGAACCUUUACUAUAGCUUGACACUGAACAUUGAGCCUUGAUGUGUAGGAUAGGUGGGAGGCUUUGAAGUGUGGACGCCAGUCUGCAUGGAGCCGACCUUGAAAUACCACCCUUUAAUGUUUGAUGUUCUAACGUUGACCCGUAAUCCGGGUUGCGGACAGUGUCUGGUGGGUAGUUUGACUGGGGCGGUCUCCUCCUAAAGAGUAACGGAGGAGCACGAAGGUUGGCUAAUCCUGGUCGGACAUCAGGAGGUUAGUGCAAUGGCAUAAGCCAGCUUGACUGCGAGCGUGACGGCGCGAGCAGGUGCGAAAGCAGGUCAUAGUGAUCCGGUGGUUCUGAAUGGAAGGGCCAUCGCUCAACGGAUAAAAGGUACUCCGGGGAUAACAGGCUGAUACCGCCCAAGAGUUCAUAUCGACGGCGGUGUUUGGCACCUCGAUGUCGGCUCAUCACAUCCUGGGGCUGAAGUAGGUCCCAAGGGUAUGGCUGUUCGCCAUUUAAAGUGGUACGCGAGCUGGGUUUAGAACGUCGUGAGACAGUUCGGUCCCUAUCUGCCGUGGGCGCUGGAGAACUGAGGGGGGCUGCUCCUAGUACGAGAGGACCGGAGUGGACGCAUCACUGGUGUUCGGGUUGUCAUGCCAAUGGCACUGCCCGGUAGCUAAAUGCGGAAGAGAUAAGUGCUGAAAGCAUCUAAGCACGAAACUUGCCCCGAGAUGAGUUCUCCCUGACUCCUUGAGAGUCCUGAAGGAACGUUGAAGACGACGACGUUGAUAGGCCGGGUGUGUAAGCGCAGCGAUGCGUUGAGCUAACCGGUACUAAUGAACCGUGAGGCUUAACCUUACAACGCCGAAG
rnacentral:rRNA from 1 species